GAAUAGUUUGAGGAGUAUUUUUAGUAGUUCUAAUUUGAAUAAUUUGAAAGUCUGGUGUUUUGGCUUCUUUUUGGUUUGUUUGUGUUUUGUUUUGUUUUUUGUUUGUUUGGGGGGGGGCUUUUAAUGACUGCUUCUGUUUCCUUAGGGGUUAUGGGACUGUUUGGGUAGUUUAACUGAUCUUGACUUAACUUUGCUAUGUCCUAUCUGUCUAGAAAAUCAACCAUUUUAUUUGGGAUUUCUAGGGUUUUUGUUUGUUUUUUUGUUUUUGUUUUUGUUUUUAGUAUAGGCUUCUGUAGUAAAGCCUGAUGAGGUUUUAAUUUCCCCAAUUUCCAUUUUUAUGUAAGUCUUUUUAUUUCUGUUUUUGCUAAUUUGGAAACUCUCUCUAUACCAUCUGGUUGUCUUUUUUUUUUUUUAAUUAGAUAUUUUGUUUAUUUACAUUUCAAAUAUUAUCCCCUUUCUUAGUUUCCCCUCCAAAAAUCCCCUAUCCUCUCCCUCCUCCUCCUGUUCCCCAACCCAUCCACUCCCACCUCCUGUCCUAGGCAUUCCCAUGUACUGGGACAUAGAGCCUUCACAGGACCAAGGGCCUCUCCUCCCACUGAUGACCAAUUAGGCCAUCCUCUGCUACACAUGUAGCUAGACCCAUGAGUUCCUCUGUGUAUUUUCUUUGAUUGGUGGUUUAGUCCUAGGGAGCUCUGGGGUUACUUACUGGUUAGUUCAUAUUGUUGGUCCUCCUGGGGGCUGCAAACCCCUUCAGAUCCUGGGGUACUUUCUUUAGCUCCUUCAUUAGGGACCCUGUACUCCAUCUAAUGGAUGACUGAGAGCAUUCACUUCUGUAUUAGUCAGACACUGGCAGAGCCUCUCAGAAGACAGCUAUAUCAGGCUCCUGUUAGUAAGUCCUUGUUGGCAUCUGCAAUAGAGUCUAGAUUUGGUGCUUGCUUAUGGGAUGGAUCUCCAGGUGGACCAGGUUCUGGACGGUCAUUCAUUCAGUCUCUACUCCAAACUUUGUCUCUGUAACUCCUUCCAUGGGUAUUUUGUUCCCCCUUCUAAGAAGGAUCCAAGUAUCCACACUUUGGUCUUCCUUGUUCUUGAGUUUCAUGUCUUUACAAAUUGUAUCUUGAGUAUUCUGAGCUUCUGAGCUAAUAUCCACUUAUCAGUGAAUGUAUAUCACUGUAUAUAAAUUAUCAACUAAUAUAUCAUAAUUCUUCCCAUUAAACUUCUUGAUUUUUAAUCAUCUACUGGCUAUUUAUCAUCUUUGGAAUUUAAAGAGAUAUUUUAAUUAUUUGAGUAUUUCAUAGCAUGCAUAUAGUAAGGUUUGAUUGAGUCCACUAGUUCCACCCAUUAUAUUUCAUUUCUAAUACAUGUCCACUAUUAUAGCCGUACUUUAUGUGCUCAUUUUUCUAAAAUUCUCUGAGUUCUUUCACUGCUGACAUUAUAUGGACUGGUAUAAGAUAAUCUAGUGGAGAAUUGGUAUAUUUUUAGGAACCACAUACCUGAAGAUAGCUUACUUUCCCUCUCACAGCAGACUCCAGUUGUCAAUAAUGCCUCAGCUACUUAUAGGCCUUUGUGGAAACAUCCCCUGUCUAUGUAGAGAUUGUGGCUAGGUUAGAUUUAGAAUGGUCUUAUUCUUGAAAUUAUAGAUACUAUAAGUUACAUAUGCAACUCCUGUUAUAUCAAUAAAAUAGUGUUCUAGGUUGCUUGCAAAAUAAUUCUGCUCACAUUUUUACAAUGAUAACAUGAGCCUUAGGCAGAAGGGCUAUGAUAUAAAUGUCCCAUUUAAAGCUGAGUAUUCUAGUAUUUUUUCUUUAUGUUCAUCCAUAAUUGUUCUUUGUGUCUACCAGAAAAAAGGAGCUAAGUUUCAACGAAAGUUGUGAAAUGAAUUAGCCUGUGAGUAUAACAACUCACUAGGAGUUGAUUUUAAACUAUCCAUUUAGCCUAAUAGAAUAGUAAGUUCUCUCCUAGAGACUAUGAUCAACAUAGCCAUGGAUUCUUUGCUGCAUUAACAGAUGUGCAUUCUGUAGUUUGCAGUGGGCCCUAAGUAUAAUGAGGAAAUAGUCCUUCUCAUAACCUUUGUGACACAAUGUCACUAUGGGCAUAUUUGGCAGUUUGGUUAUUAUUGUGGUUCAUAGGGUUCACAGCUCCAUAUGAUAUACUGUCUAAUACCAGGAAAGCUACACAGAGAGCUGAAGCUUCCAGAUUGGCUCCAAAUUUAUGUUUCAAUGUUCUUUGAUUCAAGUACUUCUUAUCAUAAAUAUGGUUGUAUCUUCAAGUUCUAGAGAGUAAGCAAGAUUAAAGACAAUAGCCUACAGUGUUUGGGUUUUUCUGGGACCCAAGUCACCAAUAAUCCCUAAAACAAAAUGUCAUCCCUUGAUGUAAGUCAUUACCCUCAUGCUAAAAGGUAGUUUUAAAUAAAUUCUCUUUAUAUUUGAAUAUGAUUAUAUUUUAUGAAUUUUAUAUAAAGGUAGAAUUGGAAAUGAGUUUUUGAAGGCACUUUAGUAUUGCUUAUCCCUUGUCAUUCUCCCUCCUUUACCCUGUCCUCUUAUACCCUAUCCUACUUACCAAUUCUUGCUCAAUUAUUUUCUAUUCUUUUGUAACACCACUUACCUCUAACUUCCUUAUCUUGAGAUUUCCACCAACCCAUACCCCCUUUCUGUUUUCCUGAAUUACAUGGGUACUCCAAUUUAAAUGGAAAUGUUUAAAUAAUAAAACAACCAUUAAUAUAUAAGAGAGAAGCAUUUAUUUUAAUUUUAUAUGUUGAUGUUAGUUCCUGAACAUAUGUAUUUGUUCCAUAUAUAUGCCU
rnacentral:lncRNA from 1 species